rnacentral:rRNA from 1 species
AUGGGCGCAAGCCUGAUGCAGCGACGCCGCGUGAGGGAUGACGGCCUUCGGGUUGUAAACCUCUUUCAGUAGGGAAGAAGCCGCAAGGUGACGGUACCUGCAGAAGAAGCGCCGGCUAACUACGUGCCAGCAGCCGCGGUAAUACGUAGGGCGCAAGCGUUAUCCGGAAUUAUUGGGCGUAAAGAGCUCGUAGGCGGUUUGUCGCGUCUGCCGUGAAAGUCCGGGGCUCAACUCCGGAUCUGCGGUGGGUACGGGCAGACUAGAGUGAUGUAGGGGAGACUGGAAUUCCUGGUGUAGCGGUGAAAUGCGCAGAUAUCAGGAGGAACACCGAUGGCGAAGGCAGGUCUCUGGGCAUUAACUGACGCUGAGGAGCGAAAGCAUGGGGAGCGAACAGGAUUAGAUACCCUGGUAGUCCAUGCCGUAAACGUUGGGCACUAGGUGUGGGGGACAUUCCACGUUUUCCGCGCCGUAGCUAACGCAUUAAGUGCCCCGCCUGGGGAGUACGGCCGCAAGGCUAAAACUCAAAGGAAUUGACGGGGGCCCGCACAAGCGGCGGAGCAUGCGGAUUAAUUCGAUGCAACGCGAAGAACCUUACCAAGGCUUGACAUGAACCGGACCGCUGCAGAAAUGUGGUUUCCCCUUUGGGGCUGGUUUACAGGUGGUGCAUGGUUGUCGUCAGCUCGUGUCGUGAGAUGUUGGGUUAAGUCCCGCAACGAGCGCAACCCUCGUUCUAUGUUGCCAGCACGUGAUGGUGGGGACUCAUAGGAGACUGCCGGGGUCAACUCGGAGGAAGGUGGGGACGACGUCAAAUCAUCAUGCCCCUUAUGUCUUGGGCUUCACGCAUGCUACAAUGGCCGGUACAAAGGGUUGCGAUACUGUGAGGUGGAGCUAAUCCCAAAAAGCCGGUCUCAGUUCGGAUUGGGGUCUGCAACUCGACCCCAUGAAGUCGGAGUCGCUAGUAAUCGCAGAUCAGCAACGCUGCGGUGAAUACGUUCCCGGGCCUUGUACACACCGCCCGUCAAGUCACGAAAGUUGGUAACACCCGAAGCCGGUGGCCUAACC